CUGGUAAUGAUUUCAACCGUCUCCUGAAUCAUCUCUAAUUCAUUAGCUUUAAAAGAUUGGAAAUUAUUGGGUUGUUGGACUUGCGAUUUUCGGAUCGAGUUUGGAUCAAAAGACUAGUUUUUCGGAUCUUUUCUGAGUAAUAUUACUCUCAUUAUUUCCGUUUAAUCAAAUUGCGGGUUCGUAGAGGAACCUUUUUGACUUGAGAUUGAGAUUUGCUAACUUUGAUUGCUGAUAAGGGACUUGAAGAUAGUUAGCUCCAGUUGGGUUAAAGAGUGCGUUUGAUCCAUUUUGAUUUAGUAGGACUUUAAAAAGACUUCCGCUGUUAUUUAUUUAUAGGAUUAUGUUCUGGUUUGUAAUAAUUAAUUUUACAUUCUAUUUAGUUGGUCUGUAAUAAUUAGUUAAAACUUUUGGUUAUUGUUUUAGUUAGAACCAUUAGCCUUGCGGUUAUUAUUAAUAAUUAUUGCGGCGUAGCACCUUUGGAUUUCCGAGUUAAUUUUAUUAAGUUGAUUUUAGAAGUA